rnacentral:rRNA from 1 species
UACGAGGGAUCCUAGCGUUGUUCGGAAUCAUUGGGCGUAAGAGUAUGUAGGCGGCCUUGUAAGUCAGUUGUGAAAGCCCCGGGCUCAACCCGGGAAGUGCCAAUUGAGUACUGCUUGGCUUGGAAUGUGGAAGAGGGCAGUAGAAUUCCAGGUGUAGUGGUGAAAUGACGUAGAUAUCUGGAGGAAUACCGGUGGCGAAGGCGGCUGCCUGGUCCACAUUGACGGCUGAGAUACGAAGCGUGGGGAGCAAACAGG